rnacentral:rRNA from 1 species
GAUGAACGCUAGCGACAGGCUUAACACAUGCAAGUCGAGGGGUAGCAGGGGGUAGCAAUACUUUGCUGACGACCGGCGCACGGGUGAGUAACACGUAUGCAACUUACCUAUCAGAGGGGGAUAACCCGGCGAACGUCGGACUAAUCCCGCAUAAAACAGGUGUCCCGCAUGGGUAUAUUUGUUAAAGAUUUAUUGCUGAUAGAUAGGCAUGCGUUCCAGUAGGCAGUUGGCGGGGUAACGGCCCACCAAACCGACGAUGGAUAGGGGUUCUGGGAGGUAGGACCCCACCAUUGGUAUGGUGCCACGAACCAAGCUCCUACGGGAGGCAGCAGUGCAGAAAAUUGGUCAAUGGUGGCGAGGCUGAACCAGACAAGUCGCGUGAAGGAUGAAGGUUCUAUAGAUUGUAACCUUCUUUUAUUGGGAAGUAAAGUGCAGGACGUGUCGUGUUUUGUGUGGACACAACGAAUAAGAAUCGGGUAACUACGUGCAAGCAGACGCAGUAA